CAGUCCUUCCUCGGAUGUCCACAGCCUUAAAAAUGUCAGUGAGCUCUGUGCCUGUAAGUCCUCUAACAAAGUAACCAGGACUUCCCACACUCAUGCCAAGAAAGAUUGUCACCAGGAUGACCUUUGUUAACAGCAAAAAGGUCACAAAGGAAAUACACAGAGGCGGGGCAUGGCUGUUGGAGGUCUAUCAUGGAGCGCCACACAGCCAUGAAGGAUUAUCCUGUGAAACACCAACUCUGUGGUUAACCACACACCCUAUUACCCAAGCAACCGGGGUCAGCACCUCUACUCAUAAGUCACCCUAACACCAUGAAUCUUGGGAUGUGACACACCAGGAAGGACAGUGUCACUUCUGUUGUUCUCAAUGGAACUGCAAGAAAAAGAGAGAUAAAUCCAAAUAGUCGAGUGUGCAGAAUAACCAACCACCCAGCGCUCUUUAAGACAAAGAUCAAGGACUCAGUGACGGGAGAAGGCCCAGGAGAAAGGAUAAGUCAAUGCGGUUUCUUGCAUGUUACUUCUGACGACCACCAAACAGAAGGCGGGGUUUCUUUGGCAAGUCCAACAAAGGGAGGGCGAUGGAGAUGGAGUGAGGGCGCCUCUCCUCCCUGUCACCAGGAGAGACACGUGGAGACUGUUAGAGAAGACAGGUGCUCAAAAGCCAGGGCGAGGGGCCUCACUGGAACGAACCGAAUCAUAGGAGGAUUCUAUAGACUCCAGCACUGUGAGAAGCUAUUCAGGUUCAGAGGUAUUAACCAAGCUCUGACCUUCUGAGCCUCUACUCACUGCUAUCCCAAGUACUGGAGUCCCAUGGGAUCGUGAGGGUCAGAGAGGUAACAAGGUGGCUUGGAGGAGUAUGUGGAUAUCUCAGAACACCGGAGGCAAAAUGGCUGCAGCUUCGAGUACUGGUGAAUCCAGGAGCUCAAACGUGGAGUCAAGAUUCCCUCCCUCGCUUCCCUGCUUGUCAGCUGUGGUUGUCUCUGCUCCUCUUUGGUGACUUUUAGGAGGUAUGUGCUGGGCACCCCUCUGCACACAGCAUCGCCGUGGCUGUGGUGAGAACGCUGGUUUCUUUUAAAACCACGGAAAUAUGAUGCGAA
rnacentral:sRNA from 1 species